GGGAAUAUUGCACAAUGGGGGAAACCCUGAUGCAGCGACGCCGCGUGAGUGAAGAAGCGUUUCGGCUCGUAAAGCUCUGUUGUUGGAGAAGAACGUGCGUGAGAGUAACUGUUCACGCAGUGACGGUAUCCAACCAGAAAGUCACGGCUAACUACGUGCCAGCAGCCGCGGUAAUACGUAGGUGGCAAGCGUUAUCCGGAUUUAUUGGGCGUAAAGCGAGCGCAGGCGGUUGCUUAGGUCUGAUGUGAAAGCCUUCGGCUUAACCGAAGAAGUGCAUCGGAAACCGGGCAACUUGAGUGCAGAAGAGGACAGUGGAACUCCAUGUGUAGCGGUGGAAUGCGUAGAUAUAUGGAAGAACACCAGUGGCGAAGGCGGCUGUCUGGUCUGCAACUGACGCUGAGGCUCGAAAGCAUGGGUAGCGAACAG
rnacentral:rRNA from 1 species